rnacentral:rRNA from 1 species
AUUGAACGCUGGCGGCAUGCCUAACACAUGCAAGUCGAACGGCAGCACAGUGUGUAGCAAUACACAUGGGUGGCGAGUGGCGGACGGGUGAGUAAUGCGUAGGAAUCUGCCCUUAAGUGGGGGAUAGCCCGGAGAAAUCCGGAUUAAUACCGCAUGUGCUCUACGGAGCAAAGCGGGCCUCUGUUUCAAGCUCGCGCUUGAGGAUGAGCCUACGUCGCAUUAGCUAGUUGGGGGGGUAAAGGCCGACCAAGGCGACGAUCCGUAGCUGGUCUGAGGGGAUGACCAGCCACACUGGGACUGAGACACGGCCCAGACUCCUACGGGAGGCAGCAGUGGGGAAUAUUGGACAAUGGGCGAAAGCCUGAUCCAGCAAUGCCGCGUGUGUGAAGAAGGCCUGCGGGUUGUAAAGCACUUUUGUCGGGAAAGAAAAUCACAGGGUUAAUACCCCUGUGCCUUGACGGUACCCGAAGAAUAAGCACCGGCUAACUCCGUGCCAGCCGCCGCCGUAA